rnacentral:rRNA from 1 species
CCCACGGGUGGCUGCAGUGGGGAAUAUUGGACAAUGGGGGGAACCCUGAUCCAGCCAUGCCGCGUGUGUGAAGAAGGCCCUCGGGUUGUAAAGCACUUUCAGUGAGGAAGAACGCCUGGUGGUUAAUACCCAUCAGGAAAGACAUCACUCACAGAAGAAGCACCGGCUAACUCCGUGCCAGCAGCCGCGGUAAUACGGAGGGUGCGAGCGUUAAUCGGAAUUACUGGGCGUAAAGCGCGCGUAGGUGGCUUGAUAAGCCGGUUGUGAAAGCCCCGGGCUCAACCUGGGAACGGCAUCCGGAACUGUCAAGCUAGAGUGCAGGAGAGGAAGGUAGAAUUCCCGGUGUAGCGGUGAAAUGCGUAGAGAUCGGGAGGAAUACCAGUGGCGAAGGCGGCCUUCUGGACUGACACUGACACUGAGGUGCGAAAGCGUGGGUAGCAAACAGGAUUAGAUACCCUAGUAGUC